AAAUGAAUAGACGGGGACCCGCACAAGCGGUGGAUGAUGUGGUUUAAUUCGAUGCAACGCGAAAAACCUUACCUACCCUUGACAUGCCUGGAAUCCUGCAGAAAUGUGGGAGUGCUCGAAAGAGAACCAGGACACAGGUGCUGCAUGGCCGUCGUCAGCUCGUGUCGUGAGAUGUUGGGUUAAGUCCCGCAACGAGCGCAACCCUUGCCAUUAGUUGCUACGAAAGGGCACUCUAAUGGGACUGCCGGUGACAAACCGGAGGAAGGUGGGGAUGACGUCAGGUCCUCAUGGCCCUUAUGGGUAGGGCUACACACGUCAUACAAUGGCCGGUACAGAGGGCUGCCAACCCGCGAGGGGGAGCUAAUCCCAGAAAACCGGUCGUAGUCCGGAUCGCAGUCUGCAACUCGACUGCGUGAAGUCGGAAUCGCUAGUAAUCGCGGAUCAGCUUGCCGCGGUGAAUACGUUCCCGGGUCUUGUACACACCGCCCGU
rnacentral:rRNA from 1 species